UCCGAGUGAACCUAUUUUUACUUUUGCUAGCUUUUUCUUUUAAAAUUUAUAUGUUCAAAUUCAAAUCAAAUUUAUCAACAAGCUUAUUUACAUGUAUAUAGUGAUCUUCUUUCAAAUCUAGAGUACUAUUAGACCCAACAAAAUACAACAACCUAUGAAAAAUAAUAAAUCAAUGGAAAUAUGGUUUUGAUUCAGCAAAGACAAACCACCUCAUUGUGACAGUGGUGUUGGAGAGAGGAGGCGACAGAACCUUUACAAUAAUUCAGUCUAAUGCCAACCAAACUCCAUACAAAAGAAAGAAAUUCAAAACGGAGAAGGGGUAAGAAAAAUAUGAAUUUGACAAGAUGAUAUUUAAAAUGUAGGUUGAAAAAGAGAAAUUAUUUUGAUAAGAUUAGGUUUAUGUAGGAAUAUAAAAUCUAAAAUUAAAGACAAAGGUAACAUUCAUAGUAGAUAAGAUAUAAUUGUGUUUAGUUAUUUAAAGGUGAUAAUUAGGAAUUUUAUAUUUAGAAGUUACUGGUAAACUAAAAACCAUUGGAAUUAUGAAACUAAUAAAGACUAUGAUAUUUUAGAUUUAUUAUUAAUUGAUCACUAGAAAUAAUUAUGACAAAGAAAAAGAAACAUAAAUUGCGAAAGUUAAUAUUAAACUAAUAAUUUGCUAAGAUAUAAUAAUUAAAAAAUUCGGUGAAUAAGAUUAGAAUAUAACUUUAUUGUUAGGAAAUAGUUGAUUAAAUUCUUAUUGAAGAUUUACGUUUAACUUUUAUUUUAAGGGCUGCGAGAGAUAAAACAGCCUCAAGGAUUAAUGUGAAUGUAGUAUAUUAGGUUGUAGAUUAACCAAAAAUCUUCAUAAAGAGAAACGGCUUUCGUCAUUAGAAAAUUUAUGUCGCAAUCGAGCUCAAUUUGAGAUCGUAUUUUUAUUAUUUUGAAUCAUAAAUAAGAUGUGAGAUCAAUUAUGCAACAUUAUUCUAAUAAUAACAGAAAGAAAAACAUGCUUUAGAAAUAUACAUAUCAGUUUUCAACAACGGUUGUGCGAAAAAUUAUAAUGAUUAGAGUUCAUAAGUUUUUCAAAGACGUGGGGUGAAAACCAUAGUGAUUAGAGUUAAAGGGUUGUUCAUAAACGUUAGUAUAAAAACUUUUAUGAUUAGAUGUCAUUGAUUUCUCAACAAUGUAUGUAUGAAAAGAGAUUUAUAUAUUUCAGCAGUUUUUUUUUAAAGACUUGGGUGUCAAAGAGUACAUGAGGAAAUAACAAUGAUAAUUUUUUUAAAAGAUAGAUUUUGAUAUAUAUUUUAGAAUAGGAUUUUUAGAUAUAAAUUUAGUAUAGACAUGGCUGAAAAGAAGAUGAGGAUCAAUAGCUAAAGGAUGAGUACAAGUAAAUUUUUCAAUGAAAAUAUGGGUCUAGUCCUUAAGGGGAGAGAGGUGAUAGAAUUUGAUAUAUUUUUAUAAUUUAUUAUAUAUAUUUUUGUUACGUAUUAUAAAUGUAAGAUUUAGUAUAAUUUAUGCCAUUUAUUAAAGGCAGAAUUAGUUUAGAGGAGAUAAAUGUAGACAUUAGGAUGAAGUUGGUAUAUUUAUAUAUUUUAUUAGUAUAAUUGUAUUAGGUAGUUUAUAUUUGAGAAUUAAUAUAAAAAGUGAUAAAAUAUUUCAGAAGUUAUUUAAAUAGAUUAUUUUAGAAGAUUAGAUGUGAUUACCCGAUAUCUCAGCAAGGGCAAACUGUCGUAGAAGACCCGGAAGUCUAAAAGAUAGAUACGAUUACAAGAAUUAGAGGCAACAACCAAUCAAUACAAGAGAAUGAUAGGAAACUUACAAGAGAAUGAUAGGAAACUAGCUACGAUAAAUUGUAAAAAAGAUUAAGACAGACUAGCAAAAAACAAGAGAGGAAAAGAAACUAGAUGUCAUCGAUAAUCGUUCAUCAAUCGUGGAUAGUGGAAAACAGGCGUGUAUCAAGUUCGUCAGUGGCCUACAGAGAUAAAAAGCUGAUCGUUUCACAGGGUGACAAGCGACAGAAGAUAGAAUCCAAAAAUUUCAAGCGACAAUCGGAUACAAACGGUCGUUCGAAACUAAGAAUACUAGACAAGAGUCAGUCUUCGUUAGAACUUAGAAGACAGCAAAGAUUAAGAAGAAUAAGUCGAGAUCGAAAGAAGAUAGAUCAUGCGCAGAAUGUUGGGUCUAAUUUAAGUAGGGAGGUGUUGUAAAUGUUAGAUUUAAUUUGCAUAAAGAAUUCUUUUGGAUUUUGUUGUACUUUAUAUUUAAUUUGCAUAAAGAAUUCUUUUGGAUUUAUUAUUAUAACGCGUGAUAAAAAUAUUAUAUUUGAAUAGUUAUGAAUAUUAGUUUUAAGAAGAUUGAAAAGAGUAUAAAAAGGCCAAU